GAGUUUGAUCUUGGCUCAGAUUGAACGCUGGCGGCAGGCCUAACACAUGCAAGUCGGGCGGUAGAGAGAAGCUUGCUUCUCUUGAGAGCGGCGGACGGGUGAGUAAUGCCUAGGAAUCUGCCUGGUAGUGGGGGAUAACGCUCGGAAACGGACGCUAAUACCGCAUACGUCCUACGGGAGAAAGCAGGGGACCUUCGGGCCUUGCGCUAUCAGAUGAGCCUAGGUCGGAUUAGCUAGUUGGUGAGGUAAUGGCUCACCAAGGCGACGAUCCGUAACUGGUCUGAGAGGAUGAUCAGUCACACUGGAACUGAGACAC
rnacentral:rRNA from 1 species